GGACUACCCGGGUAUCUAAUCCUGUUCGCUCCCCACGCUUUCGCGCCUCAGUGUCAGUAACGUCCCAGCGAGCUGCCUUCGCUAUUGGUGUUCCUCCUGAUAUCUGCGCAUUCCACCGCUACACCAGGAAUUCCACUCGCCUCUUCCGUACUCUAGUCCCACAGUAUCCACCGGCUUUCAAAGGUUGAGCCUUUGACUUUCACAGCGGACUUAUGGGGCCACCUACGCGCGCUUUACGCCCAAUGAUUCCGGACAACGCUUGCUCCCUACGUAUUACCGCGGCUGCUGGCAC
rnacentral:rRNA from 1 species